ensembl:lncRNA
GUUAGUACUGUAGUACUGCUGGGGUUAUACAGGUUAGUACUGCUGGGGUUAUACAGGUUAGUACUGUAGUACUGCUGGGGUUAUACAGGUUAGUACUGCUGGGGUUAUACAGGUUAGUACUGCUGGGGUUAUACAGGUUAGUACUGCUGGGGUUAUACAGGUUAGUACUGCUGGGGUUAUACAGGUUAGUACUGCUGGGGUUAUACAGGUUAGUACUGUAGUACUAAUCCACCAUUCUCUGGCUCCGCCCCCCUCCAUCUCUCUCUGGCUCCGCCCCCCCUCCACCUCUCUCUCUGGCUCCGCCCACCCUCCACCUCUCUAGAUGUGUGGUGUGAUGGUAUCAGCCAGUGAAGACUCCACCCCCUCAGUGAUCUACCACUGUGUGUUGCGUGGGU